AAUUUGAAAUCUGGCCCCUUCGGGGUCCGAGUUGUAAUUUGUAGAGAGUGCUUCGGGUGAGACUGCGGUCUAAGUCCAUUGGAACAUGGCGUCCCAGAGGGUGAGAAUCCCGUAUGUGACCGCGGCUCGAGCCCAUGUGAAGCCUCUUCGACGAGUCGAGUUGUUUGGGAAUGCAGCUCUAAAUGGGUGGUAAAUUUCAUCUAAAGCUAAAUACUGGCUGGAGACCGAUAGCGCACAAGUAGAGUGAUCGAAAGAUGAAAAGCACUUUGGAAAGAGGGUUAAACAGUACGUGAAAUUGUUGAAAGGGAAGCGCUGGCAACCAGACCUGUCCGUAGGCGAUCACCCGUUGUUCUCAGCGGUGCACUCGUUCUGCGAUCAGGCCAGCAUCGGUUCGGGCGGGCGGAUAAAGGUCUUGGGAAUGUAGCUCCCUUCUCGGGGGAGUCUUAUAGCCCUCGAUGCAAUGCGCCCAGCCGGGACCGAGGACCGCGCUUCGGCUAGGAUGCUGGCGUAAUGGUUGUCAGCGACCC
rnacentral:rRNA from 1 species